CCUGGCUCAGGAUGAACGCUAGCUACAGGCUUAACACAUGCAAGUCGAGGGGCAGCAUUUCAGUUUGCUUGCAAACUGGAGAUGGCGACCGGCGCACGGGUGAGUAACACGUAUCCAACCUGCCGAUAACUCGGGGAUAGCCUUUCGAAAGAAAGAUUAAUACCCGAUGGCAUAAUUAGACCGCAUGGUCUUAUUAUUAAAGAAUUUCGGUUAUCGAUGGGGAUGCGUUCCAUUAGGCAGUUGGUGAGGUAACGGCUCACCAAACCUUCGAUGGAUAGGGGUUCUGAGAGGAAGGUCCCCCACAUUGGAACUGAGACACGGUCCAAACUCCUACGGGAGGCAGCAGUGAGGAAUAUUGGUCAAUGGGCGCAGGCCUGAACCAGCCAAGUAGCGUGAAGGAUGACUGCCCUAUGGGUUGUAAACUUCUUUUAUAUGGGAAUAAAGUUUUCCACGUGUGGAAUUUUGUAUGUACCAUAUGAAUAAGGAUCGGCUAACUCCGUGCCAGCAGCCGCGGUAAUACGGAGGAUCCGAGCGUUAUCCGGAUUUAUUGGGUUUAAAGGGAGCGUAGGUGGAUAGUUAAGUCAGUUGUGAAAGUUUGCGGCUCAACCGUAAAAUUGCAGUUGAUACUGGCUGUCUUGAGUACAGUAGAGGUGGGCGGAAUUCGUGGUGUAGCGGUGAAAUGCUUAGAUAUCACGAAGAACUCCGAUUGCGAAGGCAGCUCACUGGACUGCAACUGACACUGAUGCUCGAAAGUGUGGGUAUCAAACAGGAUUAGAUACCCUGGUAGUCCACACAGUAAACGAUGAAUACUCGCUGUUUGCGAUAUACAGUAAGCGGCCAAGCGAAAGCAUUAAGUAUUCCACCUGGGGAGUACGCCGGCAACGGUGAAACUCAAAGGAAUUGACGGGGGCCCGCACAAGCGGAGGAACAUGUGGUUUAAUUCGAUGAUACGCGAGGAACCUUACCCGGGCUUAAAUUGCAUUUGAAUAAUCUGGAAACAGGUUAGCCGUAAGGCAAAUGUGAAGGUGCUGCAUGGUUGUCGUCAGCUCGUGCCGUGAGGUGUCGGCUUAAGUGCCAUAACGAGCGCAACCCUUAUCUUUAGUUACUAACAGGUUAUGCUGAGGACUCUAGAGAGACUGCCGUCGUAAGAUGUGAGGAAGGUGGGGAUGACGUCAAAUCAGCACGGCCCUUACGUCCGGGGCUACACACGUGUUACAAUGGGGGGUACAGAAGGCAGCUACCUGGUGACAGGAUGCUAAUCCCAAAAGCCUCUCUCAGUUCGGAUCGAAGUCUGCAACCCGACUUCGUGAAGCUGGAUUCGCUAGUAAUCGCGCAUCAGCCAUGGCGCGGUGAAUACGUUCCCGGGCCUUGUACACA
rnacentral:rRNA from 1 species